rnacentral:misc_RNA from 1 species
GAUGAAGAACGUAGCGAAAUGCGAUAAGUAAUGUGAAUUGCAGAAUUCAGUGAAUCAUCGAAUCUUUGAACGCACCUUGCGCUCCUUGGCAUUCCGAGGAGCAUGCCUGUUUGAGUGUCAUUAAAUUCUCAAGACCUGUCUGCUUUUUUGAUAGGUAUUGGAUUUUGGGGGUUGCAGGCUGUUUCAAAUAAAUAGCCUUGCUCUCCUUGAAUGUAUUAGUGGAGAAAAGCCAUUGAACUCCAUUGGUGUGAUAAAACCUAUCAAUGCCAGGAGCAAUAUCACUACUUCUCUCUGCUGUCUAACUGUGACUGUCUGUAUUAAUUAGUAUGGAUGGGGACAACUUGACCAACUUGACCUCAAAUCAGGUAGGACUACCCGCUGAACUUAAGCAUAUCAAUAACCGGAGGA